ACCAUCUCACCUGCGCAGAUGUCGUAGGUCCUACCAUCCCGGCCGCAGGUGGUUCCGCGGCGGAGGCCUCAUGCCGACGAGCAAUCCAACGACCCUUCUCCAGCACCAACGUACUCCGAACCACCUCUCGGACUACCUGGCCAUGCCCCAAUGUCGUCAUGCACGAUGAGCAAAGGUAGCAGCUCUCUUCUCUCCCCUCUCGCUUUUCCUCGGUGGCGAUGGCGGCAGCGUAUGGUUUGGCUCAAACCCGGCUACUCCUAUGACCCCCAACAUCGUUCAUAUUCAUACACUAAACUACAGACCCGGGUAGCACACGGUGGCUAUGGAGAACACGAC
rnacentral:lncRNA from 7 species